AUAUGUACCUGACAGGGAUGAUACCAGGAUUUUGAAGGUGGUUUUCCAAGGGAGAGCCUUAUACAAUGCAUUCUGCAUGUGCUGAUCCUGUGAUUUCCCAAAUGUAGGAACUCGACUGCAUAAUUUGUGGCAAUGGUGAACUGCAUUCAUGCUCUUCCCUG